CGCCUCGUAGUAGGUGACCUUGACCAAGCAUCCAUUACCCAGCUCAUAGCAGGUCUACUAGCAACACAAUAAAUGCGGAAAAGAGAGGCCUGGGGUGAAAUUGCUGCCUCAUUCAACGCCAGCAACUCUGACCAACUCCCUCGCACAGCCAAGCAGCUCAAGAGGAGCUACGGACACUUAAAAAGGAAGUAGAGUAUAUGCUUAUUAAUGUACGGUGUUUUUCCAUUAGGUUACUAAAUUAAGUAGGAUUAGAGCAUUUAAGUGACGGGUCAUGUGAGGAAGCUCGCCUCCUACCGAAGUAGACAGAAGGAAAGCUCCCAUCUCACCUCUCCAUUUUCCCUUCCUUCAUAUCUUUGAGUUGUAUAUAAAAUUAAAUGGGUUUUUUAUGUCUACUUUCAUAAUAUCUAUAUGCCUAUUGAUUGAUUUUUCUCUUAAGAGUUAUCUGAUAAAAAUGUGAAUUCAUAGGGAAGGUACUGGUAUGGAGGGUAUAACAGUAAAUAGGUGCCUCUGCCAUACUUUUAGGUUCUCUUGUUUGAAAUCUGUAAUGCCAAUUUUUACCCUGACUAUAUACAAGCUAUAUGGUUUCAGAACAAUUACCCCCCUCCCCCCACCAUAGGACAACUGCCCUCUGGACAAUUACUCCCCCCCCCUUCCUUGCCAGUGAAUAACUGACACAAUCAUGGAACACUAAGAUAUAGUGCUAUAUUUUCAUACUUUUUUUUGUAAUAAUUAUAUACACAAAAUGACGACUCAUAAUUUAUGGUCAAGUGAAAAAAAAUUGUAGAUCGGUCAUAUUUAAUAUUUUGUCAGGUAAGGCUAGGCUAGGCUAUUUCAAGUUAGUUAGGUUAUUUCCAUGUUUUGUGCCAGUUACUCACUGGCAAUGGGGGGAGGGGCCAAUUGUCCUAGACCCAAGCUAUGCAGCAUAUAACUCUAUAUAGCAACAUUUUACGACCACGACGUGCACCAAGAAAAAUGUGCAAGUCUGGGGCUGGUUCCCCCACACACCUGGCAAGACAAGUUUCAAACAGGUCUGUUCAAUUUUUGAAGGGUCACCUCAAAAGACUUGUCAGAAGCAUACAAAUCCUCAUAUCUAUAUAUAUUAUCAUAUAAUAAUUUUUUUGCAGAUAUGACUGUAGCCUACAGUAUUUAAGGCCUACUUCAAAAAAUGUUUUGUUUGUUUGUUUUCGAUCUACUGAUAACUAUAAAAACAGAUAUAGAAGACCGAAAGCUUAAAAAGACAGGUGGUGGUCCACGAGAAAAAAAUAUUAAAAGCUUCAGAAGAAACUGCCUUAACAGCAUCACUGAUGAGGGCCGAGUUAGCAGUGGCUGGUGAUUUUUACGAGACCUUCCGCAGUCACCCAGUAGAUGAAGAAAUAAUUCCUUAUAGAAUGUGCAGAUAGGUGAGAAUAUUUAUUGAUUUAUACAGUUGUAUGCAUUCUCAUUGAUACCAUUGCUCAAUCGCCUUUGGCUGUGUAAAAAUCAAACGGCAGCAGUGACCUACCUUAUACUGACUUUUUGCAGUUUUGCCUGUUCCAACCCCAGGGCCAUCAACUGUGCUCACCAGUCAUUGUUCCUGCCUCGACAGUGAAUGCUCCUACCUCACCAGUGAAUGCUCCUGCCUCGCCAGUCAUUGUUGCUUCACCAGUCAUUGUUCCUGCCUCACCAGUCCUUGCUCCUGCCUCACCAACACUGGAGCAGGUUCAG